ACAGAGAGCCGAAGAAGCGUGUUGGCGACGCCAUCUACCCCUGCAAUCUGCUGGGAGAGGCUGUGCGUGCUGUGCAGAGCCGAGAGGAAGUCAAGGGGGACCUCUGAGUGGUGCCCCACACGAAACCUCACACGAAAGGAACGAAGCCCACGGGUCAGACGGGGAAGAUGUGCCAGGCAAUUCCCCCGGGAGUCCCCGUUCAAUCUCACAGCGACCCUAUGAGGAGCAUCCAGAUGCACCUGGAUGGGACCUGAAGGUUUUCUCACGUUCGGGAACAUCGUCCUUUUGCGAGUGGGUGAAGCCAGGAUUGGAAGCCUCUGCCCUUGCUUAGGACCUUGCCUUUUGGACCCCACAUCCGCCGACGCGUCCUUGAGUCAAGGUCGAGCUUGUCUUGCUGCGGUGCCUGGUCCCCGACUCUGGGGCAGGGGCUGCUGACACGCACGCCCCGCAGCUAGGGGCCGCUCUCCGAGCCCCCCCACCCCGCCCCCCGCAGCAGCCGGUAUUUUGCAGUCAGUCCCUGCAGCUUCCCCGCGGUCAGCUGAGCAGAAGGGAAGAGGCGCUACAUUCUGCCUUCUGCCUCGCUGCUUCUGUCCAAGACGUGGAGAUAAAGAUAGCUCGAGUGCUCUGUGCAUUGCAAGGCCUGCUCCUCUCUCUGCUAAUGAGUUUGUGUUCACAGAUGAGACUUUCCUGGCUAAAGAAGGAACAGAUACAAUUUGCAACAACUUUUCUGGGUUUCUUUCCCCAGCCCUCACAUCGCUAUGACUCCCGCAUGCUGGAUCCCAAAGUGGCGGGCUUGAGUUUGCAGUUAAAGAUUGGACGGUUCCUAAUUUUUUCCAAGCUUUUCAAACGUCCUCUCUGACGUUCCUUUUACUUGCCCUGUUCGGUUUCUGCCGCCGGACGCCUCUGGCAUCUUUGCGUCUUAGACGCAGAUUGGAAGUAGAAACCAACAUUGUCCAACGAGCGCCUUUCUCAGGAGGCCCCCUGGGUCCUGAGACCCUUUCCCCGAAGGGCAGAGCCCCGAGGGGAGAGGCUGGCUCCGGACCCGGGAUGGGGCACACACGCCCAGCCCUUCUGGCCUCCCUGACAGCCACACUGCGGCCAGGUGUUAUAUAGCCGAGAUUCGCGGGGCCGAGGGACGGAGAGACAGAGUCACCGAGGCUGUAAUUAUCAAUAGGCGUUUUAUUGUCUAGCUCCAGCUAGGG